GGGAGUUGUGGCUCGAGGAUGACGGGAUUAGUUUUGAGGGCUUUGUGGUUGGCCGGACAUGUAUGGGUUGGCCACGGACAAUGUUUGGGGUGCGAUUUUUGGGUGAUUUUUGGCCAUUGGAGGGGGAUCCCAUGGACCAAAUCUGACCUAGGAUAUGGAGAGUUUGGUGACUAGGGGGAGGUUUAUGAUGGGGGUGGCUGCAAUUUUGGCAACAGGGAAUCCUAGAGAGUGAGAGGCACUCUCCAUAGGGUGGGUUUAUAUAUAGGGAAUGGACUAUGGUGGGAUCGACCUCGUCCGUCCGAUCGCAAUCCAAAAGCCACAAACGGAGGGAGGGGCUAGGUUGGUCUAUUGGGUUGUGUAGACGGGCUAGGUGGGAUGAGAGGGAAGGUUGUGCCUCGUGACAAAGUUUUUAAGCACCGAAAACGUGUGACGUUUGACCAGCUAUAGUGUCGCUAUACAUUAAUUGGUUCGGGUAUCCUACAUACUUUGAUUGUGAUGAAAUUUGGCAUGCAGCCUACCUAUAC
rnacentral:lncRNA from 1 species